rnacentral:rRNA from 1 species
CCCUUAGAUGUUCUGGGCCGCACGCGUGCUACACUGAGUGGAUCAGCGGGUCAGGUUGCGCGAAAGCGUUUCCUAAUCUUUAAAUCCGCUCGUGAUGGGGAUUGACGGUUGCAAUUUUCUGUCAUGAAGGAGGAAUACCUUGUAAGCGCGGGUCAUCAUCCCGCGCUGAAUACGUCCCUGCCCUUUGUACACACCGCCCGUCGCUCCUACCGAUUGAGUGGUCCGGUGAGGCUUUGGGAUCUGAGCGGAAAGAGCGUUUCGCUGUUUCUGCUCGGAAAACUCAGUCGAACCUUAUCAUUUAGAGGAAGGAGAAGUCGUAACA